rnacentral:rRNA from 1 species
AGAGUUUGAUCAUGGCUCAGGAUGAACGCUGGCGGCGUGCCUAAGGCAUGCAAGUCGUACGCUACACAAUUUUUUAAUCGUGUAGAGUGGCAGACGGGAGAGUAACACAUUGGUAACCUACCUCGAAGUCGUGAAUAACCCACCGAAAGGCGGGCUAAUACACGAUAAAAAUGGGGGGACAUAAGUCAUUCCCAUUUAAAGUUCCGGCGCUUCGAGAGGGGCCUAUGGCCUAUCAGCUUGUUGGUGAGGUAAAAGCUCACCAAGGCAACGACGGGUAGCGGGUGUGAGAGCAUGGCCCGCCUCACUGGGACUGAGACACUGCCCAGACUCCUACGGGAGGCUGCAGUCAGGAAUCUUCCGCAAUGCCCGCAAGGGUGACGGAGCGACGCCGCGUGACCGAUGACGCCCCUCGGGGUGUAAAGGUCUUUUAUUAGGGACGAACAAAUGACGGUACCUAAUGAAUAAGGGGCUGCUAAACUCGUGCCAGCAGCAGCGGUAAUACGAGUGCCCCAAGCGUUAUCCGGAUUUAUUGGGCGUAAAGCGUGCGCAGGCGGCUUAUUAAGUUAAAGGUAAAAGCCCGAAGCUCAACUUCGGUUCUGCCUUUAAUACUGAUAAGCUAGAGGCUGGGAGAGGCAAGCGGAAUUGCCGGUGUAGGGGUAAAAUCCGUUAAUAUCGGCAGGAACACCAAAUGCGAAGGCAGCUUGCUAGAACAGUUCUGACGCUGUCGCACGAAAGCGUGGGGAGCGAAGAGGAUUAGAUACCCUCGUAGUCCACGCCGUAAACGAUGGGCACUAGACAUUGGAAGUAUCGACCCUUUCAGUGUCGUUCUACUUAAGCUAACGCGUUAAGUGCCCCGCCUGGGGAGUACGGCCGCAAGGCUAAAACUCAAAGGAAUUGACGGGGACCCGCACAAGCGGUGGAGCAUGUGGUUUAAUUCGACAAUAAGCGAAGAACCUUACCAGGGCUUGACAUCUCGGGAAUCUCCCUUAAUCGGGAGAGUGCCGUAAGGAACCCGAUGACAGGCGCUGCAUGGUUGUCGUCAGCUCGUGUCGUGAGAUGUACGGUUAAGUCCGGUAACGAGCGCAACCCUCGUUCUAUGUUAGAAAUGUCAUAGAAGACUGCCAGCUUUAAGCUGGAGGAAGGUGGGGAUGACGUCAAAUCAGCAUGGCCCUUACGUCCUGGGCGACACACGUGCUACAAUGGCCGGUACAAUGGGCAGCCAAGCCGCAAGGCGGAGCUAAUCCCAUCAAAGCCGGUCUCAGUUCGGAUUGGGGUCUGCAACUCGACCUCAUGAAGUCGGAAUCGCUAGUAACCGCGUAUCAGCCAUGGCGCGGCGAAUACGUUCUCGGGUCUUGCACACACCGCCCGU